rnacentral:rRNA from 1 species
GACGAACCGUACGAACGUUAUUCGGAAUCACUGGGCUUAAAGGGUGCGUAGGCGGCGCGGAAAGUUGGGUGUGAAAUCCCUCGGCUCAACCGAGGAACUGCGCCCAAAACUGCCGUGCUCGAGGGAGAUAGAGGUGAGCGGAACUUAGGGUGGAGCGGUGAAAUGCGUUGAUAUCCUAAGGAACACCGGUGGCGAAAGCGGCUCACUGGAUCUCUUCUGACGCUGAGG